GAUGAACGCUGGCGGUGUGCCUUAAGCAUGCAAGUGGAACGGUUUUUCUGGGGCCGCAAGGCUUUGGAAGAGCAGUCGCGGACGGGUGAGUACAACGUAGGAAUCUGCCUAAAAGUGUGGAAUAACUCGCCGAAAGGCGGGCUAAUACCGCAUGUGGCCCUUCGUCGCCGCAAGGCUAUGAAGGGUUAAAGGGAAUAACUUCUCGCUUUUAGAGGAGCCUACGCCCUAUCAGCUUGUUGGUGAGGUAACGGCUCACCAAGGCGACGACGGGUAGCCGGCCUGAGAGGGUGACCGGCCACACUGGGACUGAGACACGGCCCAGACUCCUACGGGAGGCAGCAGUGGGGAAUAUUGCACAAUGGGCGCAAGCCUGAUGCAGCAACGCCGCGUGAGGGAUAAAGGCCUUCGGGUUGUAAACCUCUUUUAGCAGGGAAGAAGCGAAAGUGACGGUACCUGCAGAAAAAGCACCGGCUAACUACGUGCCAGCAGCCGCCGUAA
rnacentral:rRNA from 1 species